rnacentral:rRNA from 1 species
UGGGGAAUAUUGCACAAUGGGCGCAAGCCUGAUGCAGCAACGCCGCGUGAGGGACGACGGCCUUCGGGUUGUAAACCUCUUUUAGCAGGGAAGAAGCGAAAGUGACGGUACCUGCAGAAAAAGCGCCGGCUAACUACGUGCCAGCAGCCGCGGUAAUACGUAGGGCGCAAGCGUUACCCGGAAUUAUUGGGCGUAAAGAGCUCGUAGGCGGUCUGUCGCGUCUGCUGUGAAAACCCGAGGCUCAACCUCGGGCCUGCAGUGGGUACGGGCAGACUAGAGUGCGGUAGGGGAGAUUGGAAUUCCUGGUGUAGCGGUGGGAUGCGCAGAUAUCAGGAGGAACACCGAUGGCGAAGGCAGAUCUCUGGGCCGUAACUGACGCUGAGGAGCGAAAGGGUGGGGAGCAAACA